rnacentral:lncRNA from 1 species
CUCUUACUAGGAUUAAUCAAUUCUAUAUUGACCUACUCACAACCUCCAUACACACUCCACCAUAUCUAGAACACCCCAUAUAUAUCUUAAUACCAUACCUGGGUAUGAACCAAAAUAUGAAUUCAUGUGCACAAGAUUCCAUGAUGAUCUCAGGUUUAAGGAUCACUUGCACAACUUCCACUUAGAGAACCAUCUUUGACAUGCAAGUAAGGCUUCCAUAAG